GACGUAGGGCGCGAGCGUUGUCCGGAUUUAUUGGGCGUAAAGAGCUCGUAGGCGGCUUGUCGCGUCGACUGUGAAAACCCGCGGCUCAACUGCGGGCCUGCAGUCGAUACGGGCAGGCUAGAGUUCGGUAGGGGAGACUGGAAUUCCUGGUGUAGCGGUGAAAUGCGCAGAUAUCAGGAGGAGCACCGGUGGCGAAGGCGGGUCUCUGGGCCGAUACUGACGCUGAGGAGCGAAAGCGUGGGGAGCGAACAGG
rnacentral:rRNA from 1 species